ensembl:lncRNA
UGUCACCCUAUUGGGUCUCCCUUGAGGACUGUAUCGUAUCAGAUUCAUCUUUGUGUCCUAUGUUGUAACCAACUUUGCACAUUUCAGGUACUCAAUCAAUAUGUCUGGGAAGGAUAUGUGAAUAAGUGCUUUCUUAUAUUUGGCCAGGUCAGAAGAUGCCAGAAGUAGGAUGUCCAGACCCAACAACUACCCAAAGAGAGGAAACAGAGCUUCAAGAAGAAGGUGGUGGUAAAAUGCCAAGGGACAUUAGAAAGAAUUUCCUGCCCUUGGAAUUCUGGUAGCAGAGAGACAGAAAAGGAAGCCACUGAAAACCUUGAAAAGUUCAUUCAUGAGAUCAGAGGGGGACAGAAGCUGGACUACAAAAGCAAAAAGAAUAAAUGCAGUCCCUGCAGAUUCGGAAGCCUUGCCUAAUUGCUGAAGGGCAUUUCCCAAUCACUGAGAAUUUGGAGCUUGGCUUCAUCUGCUCACCAGGUUACAGUCUGUUAUGCUGUGGCAGCAUCGCCUAACUUCAAAUGAUGGAUUUCCUGCCAGAGCAACAUGAUUUCACCGGAACCCACUUCUCCUCCCCCUGGGGCAUUCCUCCCCCUACUUUUGGCAGACAGUGUGACCUCAGAAAUUUCUUUUGGGGCAAAGGAUGCCUUGGAGAGGUUUCCCUCACUUCCAUCAGAGAGGAGACCAGUCUGGAAAUGCCAAAUCCAGACCCACAGAAUGAAUUCAGAGAUACACUGCAGACCUCACAAAACAGAGGCCAAAACAGAGGAUUUUACUUCUCUUUAUUGACCAGCCAGCCUCAAAAAAAUAUCAUGUUCGUUUUCAUGAAUACAAUCUUUAAUUUGAAUGAUAAAUAUUUCUUGCACCUGCUCAAGCUCUUAAAUAUUUACAAGAAAUCUAAAAUGACUAACAGAUUCCAUCCAGCCUACCAGGCCUCCCUGCUUGAGGGUGAUCUCACCUCUCUCUGACCCCUCAUUCUCCCCCUACCAGCACCUACUGCAGCUCAGCUCAACCCAUCUACAAGUGACUCUGCUCUUUGCUGGCUCUCCCCUUCAGUCUGUCCUGUUAGUGAGCUCUGCAGUAUCAUUUAACUACCCCUGCAUUUUACAUUUUGGCUCCUUAACUGGACUGAAGACUCCCAGAGGGCAAGUGUUAUAUGAGUGAGUCUAUUAGUCAGCAGCUGUUUCUUCAGACUAGCUUCUAAGAAAUUAACCCUCUUUUUCAAUGGUCAGGCUCUAGCUUCUUGAUAAUUCAUAGCAAAAGAGAUUCCAUGCAAGUAAUGAGAGUAUACAGAUGCAUGUGGGUUAUUCUAGAGAUGGAGAGUAACUGGAAUCUCAGUAAUUUAAAGGGGACUCGACAUCUAAGGCUAAGGAUUAUGAAAUUCACAUCCUUAAAAGUUUCCUGCCUAAUUCUGCGUUCUAGCCAUCUUUCUCAGGGCACUGGGUUAAUAUGAAACAGAAAUGGCUCUCAAUCUACUUGUUUAAAAAAAAAAACCAUAAAAUAGCUAACAUUUAUCGCAUACCACCAUGCGCUUAGCAUUGCUCUAAGUGCCUCACAGGUAUCUUAUUUCAUUCUCAGUGGCCCUAUGAAUAGAUACUACCAUCACCUCUGUUUCACAGAACAGGUGAUUGAGCCAAGAAGCAUUUGCCUGUGCUCAGAGUGCUGGGAUGGGAAGAGCCAGAAAGUCAGCCCUGCACAAAAGCUGUUCCUCACUUCUGCACCACUCCAUCUUCCCUCCACCUACUUCCAAAUACAAGGGCUCUUCUCUUUGUCUUAAUGUAUCUUCAGGUACAAUACUUCACCACAGAAUUGAUGAAACUGAUCAAAAUUCUCUGAAUGAAAAUAGUGGAUUUUUUUAAACAAUCCACCCUUUCUACCUUCAUAAUUUCUGAUUGAGCUACUAUACAACUACAGGGGUGCCAUUCCCAUUGUCUUCUAUAUAAUAGUGGCUCUGGAUUUAUGCAAGGU